rnacentral:rRNA from 1 species
GACGAACGCUGGCGGCGUGCUUAACGCAUGCAAGUCGAGCGGUAAGGCCCUUUCGGGGGUACACGAGCGGCGAACGGGUGAGUAACACGUGGGUGACCUGCCCUCAGCUCUGGGAUAAGCCUGGGAAACUGGGUCUAAUACUGGAUAUGACUCCACGGUGCAUGUCGUGGGGUGGAAAGCCUUGUGCGGCUGAGGAUGGGCCCGCGGCCUAUCAGCUUGUUGGUGGGGUGANGGCCUACCAAGGCGACGACGGGUAGCCGGCCUGAGAGGGCGACCGGCCACACUGGGACUGAGACACGGCCCAGACUCCUACGGGAGGCAGCAGUGGGGAAUCUUGCGCAAUGGGCGAAAGCCUGACGCAGCGACGCCGCGUGAGGGAUGACGG